rnacentral:rRNA from 1 species
UACGAAGGGUGCAAGCGUUAAUCGGAAUUACUGGGCGUAAAGCGCGCGUAGGUGGUUUGUUAAGUUGGAUGUGAAAGCCCCGGGCUCAACCUGGGAAUUGCAUUUGAAACUGGGAAACUAGAGUGUGUGAGAGGGGGGUAGAAUUCCAAGUGUAGCGGUGAAAUGCGUAGAGAUUUGGAGGAAUACCAGUGGCGAAGGCGGCCCCCUGGCACAACACUGACGCUCAGGUGCGAAAGCGUGGGGAGCAAACAGG